AGAGGUUGAUUUUGGCUCAGGAUGAACGCUAGCUACAGGCUUAACACAUGCAAGUCGAGGGGCAGCAUCAUCAAAGCUUGCUUUGAUGGAUGGCGACCGGCGCACGGGUGAGUAACACGUAUCCAACCUGCCGACAACACUGGGAUAGCCUUUCGAAAGAAAGAUUAAUACCGGAUGGCAUAAUUAUUCCGCAUGGGAUAAUUAUUAAAGAAUUUCGGUUGUCGAUGGGGAUGCGUUCCAUUAGGCAGUUGGCGGGGUAACGGCCCACCAAACCUACGAUGGAUAGGGGUUCUGAGAGGAAGGUCCCCCACAUUGGAACUGAGACACGGUCCAAACUCCUACGGGAGGCAGCAGUGAGGAAUAUUGGUCAAUGGACGAGAGUCUGAACCAGCCAAGUAGCGUGAAGGAUGACUGCCCUAUGGGUUGUAAACUUCUUUUAUACGGGAAUAAAGUGAGCCACGUGUGGCUUUUUGUAUGUACCGCAUGAAUAAGGAUCGGCUAACUCCGUGCCAGCAGCCGCGGUAAUACGGAGGAUCCGAGCGUUAUCCGGAUUUAUUGGGUUUAAAGGGAGCGUAGGCGGGUUGUUAAGUCAGUUGUGAAAGUUUGCGGCUCAACCGUAAAAUUGCAGUUGAUACUGGCGACCUUGAGUGCAACAGAGGUAAGCGGAAUUCCUAGUGUAGCGGUGAAAUGCGUAGAUAUUAGGAGGAACACCAGUGGCGAAGGCGGCUUACUGGACAGUAACUGACGUUGAGGCUCGAAAGCGUGGGGAGCAAACAAGAUUAGAUACCCUGGUAGUCCACGCCGUAAACGACCUAAAAAGGGGUGUUGGUGGGCAAAGCCCAUCGGUCCCGUCGCAAACGCAAAAAGUAUUCCACCUGGGGAGUACGUUGGCAAGAAGGAAACUCAAAGGAAUUGACGGGGACCCGCACAAGCGGUGGAGCAUGUGGUCUAAUUUGAAGCAACGCGAAGAACCUUACCAAGUCUUGACAUCCCAUUGACCGGACAGUAAUGUGUCGUUCUCUUUGGAGCAGUGGAGACAGGAGGUGCAUGGUUGUCGUCAGCUCGUGUCGUGAGAUGUUGGGUUAAGUCCCGCAACGAGCGCAACCCCUAUCCUAAGUAGCCAGCAGUUCGGCUGGGCACUCUUGGGAGACUGCCAGGGAUAACCUGGAGGAAGGUGGGGAGGACGUCAAAUCAUCAUGCCCCUUAUGACUUGGGCUACACACGUGCUACAAUGGCGUAAACAAAGGGAAGCAAAGCUGUGAAGCCGAGCAAAUCUCAGAAAUAACGUCUCAGUUCGGAGUGUAGUCUGCAACUCGACUACACGAAGCUGGAAUCGCUAGUAAUUGCAGAUCAGCAUGCUGCGGUGA
rnacentral:rRNA from 1 species